GGGUGCCUUAUGUUGGGAUGCGCAGGGGUUUCAUGCAUGUAUUUCAAAAAUUUUUUAGUAAAAGAAUAUUAGAUUAAACUAUUUAAUCUAUAAAUGCAUACAUAAGAUCAGAUCUUAAAACUCCUACAAACGGAUCAAUGACUUAAAUUUAUAUGCAUAAAAAUUUGAAAGUAAAAUGAUAAGCAUGUGAACCAAAAGACAGCAUUUAGUAAUAGAUCUAAUCU
rnacentral:lncRNA from 1 species